rnacentral:tRNA from 2 species
GCCCUAGUAGCUUAUCAAUAAAGCAUUGGCCUUGUAAGCCAAAGAAUGGAAAUCUCUUCCCUAGGACA